GAGUUUGAUCCUGGCUCAGAACGAACGCUGGCGGCGUGCUUAACACAUGCAAGUCGAACGUGAUCCGGAGCUUGCUCCGGUGAAAGUGGCGCACGGGUGAGUAACGCGUGGAUAAUCUGCCCUGGUAUCUGGGAUAACAUCUCGAAAGGGGUGCUAAUACCGGAUAAGCCUACGGACUCCUCGGAGUCUGCAGGAAAAGGUGGCCUCUAUUUAUAAGCUACCGUAUCAGGAUGAGUCCGCGUACCAUUAGCUAGUUGGUGGGGUAAUGGCCCACCAAGGCUACGAUGGUUAGCUGGUCUGAGAGGAUGAUCAGCCACACUGGAACUGAGACACGGUCCAGACUCCUACGGGAGGCAGCAGUGGGGAAUUUUGCGCAAUGGGGGAAACCCUGACGCAGCAACGCCGCGUGAGUGAUGAAGGCUUUCGGGUCGUAAAGCUCUGUCAGAGGGGAAGAAAUGAGACUGGCUAAUAUCCAGUUUUCUUGACGGUACCCUCAAAGGAAGCACCGGCUAACUCCGUGCCAGCAGCCGCGGUAAUAC
rnacentral:rRNA from 1 species